GAUGAACGCUGGCGGCGUGCUUAACACAUGCAAGUCGAGCGAAGCAGUUAAGUUGAUUUCUUCGGAUUGAUUCUUGACUGACUGAGCGGCGGGCGGGUGAGUAACGCGUGGGUGACCUGCCCCAUACCGGGGGAUGACAGCUGGAAACGGCUGCUAAUACCGCAUAAGCGCACAGAGCUGCAUGGCUCGGUGUGAAAAACUCCGGUGGUAUGGGAUGGGCCCGCGUCGGAUUAGGUAGUUGGCGGGGUAACGGCCCACCAAACCGACGAUCAGUAGCCGGCCUGAGAGGGCGACCGGCCACAUUGGGACUGAGACACGGCCCAAACUCCUACGGGAGGCAGCAGUGGGGAAUAUUGCACAAUGGGGGAAACCCUGAUGCAGCGACGCCGCGUGAGCGAAGAAGUAUUUCGGUAUGUAAAGCUCUAUCAGCAGGGAAGAUAAUGACGGUACCUGACUAAGAAGCCCCGGCUAACUACGUGCCAGCAGCCGCGGUAA
rnacentral:rRNA from 1 species